ACACUUUCACACUUUCAUAUUUGGCUCAUUGGCUGUGGCAACGCUGACCUCAACCUGUCGUCCUGUCGCUCAGGAUACUUUUUCUAUUAAAUUCAACAAUUUGAUCAUCAUAUUUUCUUUUUUUUUUUUUUUUGUUUAUCGAGCCACGUGUAUAACAAAAAUGGCUAAUAAUUUUUGCUGUUCGAAUAGUUAUCGACGUGUGACAAUCUUUUGUGCUGUAGCGCUGUUGUUUGAAUUCUUGUGGUAUCUUUUUAAUUUUACUAAAAAGGAGUCAACUUUUUAUACUGUUUCAUCAGAAAACGGUAUAGACACCAAGACCCUCAUUGACACUUCACCACAAGUAAUGGAUUAUAUUUUCGCAGUAAUUCUACCUGUCGUUAUUUUGGUUAUGUUGUUUAGUGCUAUUUUUAAAAAGUCAGAAAUCUUAUUUUAUGCAAUGAUCACGUACAUAAUUUUGUGGACCUUAUUGAUUGUGUAUUCAUCUUUGGGAGAACAAAAGGGAUGGUUUUUCUGGUGUAAAUUUCCUCCUACUUUGUUGAGUGGAUCAAAACAAAAAAUAAUUUCUAGAAAGUCACAAUUUUCUUCACCUUUUUACGCUGUGGUCGAAAAUAUAUAUAGAGUGAUUUUCUUGUUGUUGAUGUAUGAGUAUAUUCGAGAACUCCGACGUGGCUAUUCAACAUCAGGCCAAGUCAUCAGUGUAUAAUAUGGAUACAUAGGAGAUAUGCUCAAAUUAAAAUACGAGAAAUGGCUCAAGGUGGUAUCUGUUAUUUAAUUCAGUAUGAGGAUAAAAAGGAUAAUGUAUCUAAUGAUAAACUGGAAAUAUAUAUUACAAAGUAGUAUUUCCAUAUAGAUUAACAAAUUUAUCCAUGUGAUUUUUUCCAUGUGAAUCAUAUCAAUUAAGAAUUUUUAUUUUUACAAUACCCAGAUAAAUUUCCUGUUGUAAAAUGAAAUAAAAAGUGAUAAAAUAUAGUCACAAACACAAUUUAAUGUCGUAUCUGUAAACUAUUAGCUUAAAAAUUUAAUUUUAUAAAAAAUGGAUGUAUCACUGAUGCCAUCUCAGGGUUAAAGUCAAAUAGCAACUACAUUCAUGAUAAUUUGUGUAAAAAAAUACAGUUUUCUAUAAAUUUGUU